ensembl:snRNA U6 U6 spliceosomal RNA
GUGUUCACUUCAGCUGCACACAUACUUAAAAUUGGACUCAUACAGGGAAGAUGAGCAUGGCCUAUGCACAAGGACGACACAAAUUCCUGAAGGGUUCUGUACUUCU